rnacentral:lncRNA from 1 species
UUUUUUUUUUUUCUGCGAGAAUUUUUCUUCAUGUAAGCAUGAAGUGAGUAAAGUUAAAAAAUGUAUUUAUGUUUUAUUCUGCAUAUGAGUCAAUAUAUGUAAUCUUCUUAAGAUUCUGAAAAGUAUAGACGAGUUCAAAAAAAUCCCAAACUGUCAGCAUUUUGGUUGGUUCUGCCUGUAAUCCUUGGUUCAUGCAUAUGAUUUUGAGGGAAGGGACUCUUUGGUUGAGAAAUGUAUUCCCAGUUCUCAUCGCAGUGCUCUAAACAAAGGAAAGGCUCAUGAAAUGCGCUUGCUGAGUGAAUAGAUACAUACACCAAAUGGGGUCAGAUCGUAAGUAUACACCUUUCUUUUUACCUGUAACAGUAAAUUUAAGAACGUUCUUAAGCAGUCCCCUAAAAUAUGAUCUUCGAAAGAUGCAUUAUAAUUCAAUUUGGGGGGGAUGACUUGUAAUUUAUCUAAUCAGUACCCUGGGACUUUUGGUUGUUCCCACUUUUCCUAAAUAGUAUUUUUGGGGUAUUAGUGUCAUUCUCAAUUUUUCAUAGUUCAUAAAAGAGGAAAAACCUGGAAAGAAGUAGAUUCUAAAUGAACACUGUAAAAUCACAUUUAUCCUGUUAUCUAUUUAAUUCAAACCACACACAUAGAAAUGUACUUAUGAAUUCUCUCUACAGAUAGGGAAGAUCAAAUCAAUUAUUACUCCAAGGUUGGAGGAGACACAUAAGAGAAGCUAGGGCAAAUCAAUACUACCAAUCUGUACUCUUCAGAAGUGCAUUAUAAAUUGUAAAGGGUUAUUUGAAUGUAUAUUAUUAUUUCUUUAAGUCUGUAAAUUUCCAUUUAAAAUAACACCUACUUCCUAAAUGAACUGCCAGGAAUUUAAAGAAUAUUAAUGAAUCUAUUUUGGUUUGCCAGAACAUUAGUGUUCCACUUGUUACAGGUUGAAAUUAAUAGCAAAAGCAAAAACAAAAACAAACUCCAUUCAGAUGAAAGAUGCAUGCAAUUAAUUUUCCUUUUUCUUAAAACACUGAAAGGAACACAGACAAUCUGAAGUUCUCCAGGAAUAAUCUUUCAAAUGCCAAAGAGAAAUUCUCAUUUUGGAAGAGGAAAGCAACCAACAGGAAAGGAACUGUGAAAGGAAUAAAGGUCAGUGAUGAUUCUGGACCAGAGAUACUAUUUUGGGUUCUAUUUACUUUCCCAUUAGGCUGCUUUAGGUUUGUGUGUUCUUAAAAGAUGUCUGAAAGGCAGCCCGUAAUGCAGUUCUCUAUCGUUUCCUUCCCUCUUUCUGCUGAAAAUGCUCAUUAAGUCUUUCAGUUAUAGAAGGUGGAAGACAUUUGUUACUGGAGAGAGUGAAGCCCUACGGCAGGGCAGCCAACAAUGGAAUACAGCAGAAGUGUCUCUGGCAAAACUGAAACCAAGAUUCAUUAAACCAAAGAAAUGUCAGAACUGGAGGGAUUUUAAAGAUCACCCUGGCUCACUGGUUUACAAUCUGAACUGCUGAAAUAGUAGAGGACUUUAAAAGAGCCAUGGGUAGAAAGUGGGAGUCUUAAAAGCAUUUUAAACAUUGCAAAAAGCUCGCAAAGUUGUACAGUUACUCACGAGAAAUGAACACUGAUUCCUUGCUUUUGCUAAGGAUUACAUGAAUUUAGUUAGCACUAGUUACACUAAUCAGACCAAAAAUAUUUAUUUAUGUUGUUUUUAAUAAAUAAAAAUGAGAAAUUCUUAUUUAAGAGGUGAAAUUUCACAGGUAUAACCUUUUCAAACUAAUCAGUGGUGAAAACUUGGAAACAAAUGGUCUAUCAAUAAACAUGAUAGUCUAGUGACAUGAUGUGCCUGACUCUGGACUAAGUGAAUUAGUGUGAAGCCUUGGACUGGACAGCGAGUUUGCUGAUUCCCAGUAGGUGACAGGAAGGAUAAGAAACCCCUUCCAGUUCUGCUGCUUCUUUCAAAUCUCUUAGAGGCUGGUGCCACCCCACUAUGUACAGCCUGCGUGAGGGUCGACAUAUAGCCUGUGAGCACCUCUUACUGUAUUUGGGAACCCUGCACGGCCCUCUAUUUUCAAUAAAAUGUCACUGAAUAUUUUAUACCAAUUUUAAAUAUUCAUAACAUCAUAAGGUAUUACCUUCUUUCUAGACUUAUUUGCAUUAUAUGAAAGUCUAAGGCCUUGAACCACAAAACUGAAGCUCUUCCAAGAGAGGUUCAACCUCUCGCUAGGUGUUUUUUGGCAGAAAGGGAUUUCUGGUAAAGAGCCAAUGAUUAAGGGAAGCAUGAAGUGGAUUUUAACUCUCCAAAAGAUCACAGAUCUACUUAGGGUGGACCUGGGGAAAUCACGUUAUGAAUGUCUGCAGGGCUGGCUUCCUUGCAGGAGAAGUAACUGCAUUGCGCCAUGUGGUUUAACCCCUACUACCAUGAUACUGCAGGUGUGGUCUGGUUCUGAAAGAUCAGUUUCAUCACUGUCUUAUAAUAAACAAAUGUUUUGUCAUAAAGACUGAAGGAUACGGAGUUCCCGUCGUGGUGCAGUGGUUAACGAAUCCGACUAGGAACCAUGAGGUUGCGGGUUCGAUUCGUUAACACUGCGCCACGACGGGAACUCCCCAGAGCUGUGUUUCUUAAUCAGAAAAAAAUAUUUUCAUCCUUUGCAGUGUACACUGCAAUGUUCAAACUCGUCUUCCUGCCACCUCGACAAGCUAUCCCCUAUUUAAAAAUAAAAAUCAGGCCUACUGGCACAUAAUGAUUGCUAUUUAUCUUGAGUUUGUUUCUCUGUAUUUUUCACAAUAUAAAUGAGAUAUUGGGAAAAUGGGAUUUGAAAUAAAAAACUAUCCAAGCUAACCAUCUUGGGAGAGGAUUCUUUGGUCAAUUGGUCCAAUGAUACUCACUUCAUUCCAUUCCCAUUUUUCUAACAGCUUCACUAGAUUGGGCCUGAAACGAUCCAAACUGUGUAGUUUCCCUUUGUCACCACAGCACCAGGGCUUGCUUGGGAUGGUAAGGAAGUAGUAGGAUAAAUAAAUUUCAAAAAAUUUUUUAAGAGAAUAACAAUGAAGAUUAAUUUUUCUCAAUCAAGUUCAGUAAUUGCAUCUAAUUAUUUAUGAGGUGUCAGAAUCUGGGUGUCAGAUUCUGAGUGUUAAACAUACAUUAUUUCACUUAAAUCACUCCCCCAUGGCUCCAUUUUUUCUGAGAUGGGCGCUAUCACCACUCCCAGUUUUCAAGAGAGGCUAACCAACUUGCCUCAGGUCAAACAACUAGUUAGGGAUGCAGACAGGGGCUGAAUCCAUGCAUCCUGAGCAAAAGCCCCAGGGUUUGAUGCUAUGAAAGCUCCCUCCCAGGUGAUGAUAAUAUGAAGCCAAGGCUAAAAACCAGACUGGUUCAGAGUCUAGUUCAAGGUGCUUCAGCUCAAAUGGUUUCAAGUCCAGGAAGAUAAAAUAAAUGAAGUAAGCAAAUAUAGACCCCAUACUUUAAAAAAUUAUAAGUCUUUAAAUAAUUAUAAGUUUUAAUCCAUCGGCCUGGCUGCUGUAUGGAAGAUAUUCCAUGUGUGGAAAUUGUGUGGAAAGCAGGAAGGCCAGUUGGGGAGAUACGGCUAUAGUCAAGGUACCAUGGCCAGCAUGGCAGCAGAGGAAGUGGUAUAAGAAGUAGUCAAAUUCUGAAUGAAUUUUAAAGAGCAAUCCUUGAUGAUUUUUCAAGUGGAUUGGAUGCAGGCUGCGAAUCAAAGAGAGGAAUCAAGAUGACCAGACCGAAAGUUUGGGCAGUUAGUGCUUAGUGUGUAGUGCUCUGGUGUAGGUAAAAUACUCUCCCAGCAAAUUCCCAGUUGGGCACCACUGUGACACUUGAUUUACUUAUGACUAGAGCAAUACCUUCCCUGGAGCACUGAAGGUGAAAUACUGGAGCACACAUCUUCCAAAUGACUGUGAUUCAUUAAAACACAUUCUUCUUGACAUGAAACACUGAAUACAAGACAUCUCUUUUAUUUCAUUAACUGCAACUAGAAAAGAAAAAGUUAAAAGCAGCUAAUUUUCUCAGUGGUAUUUGUAUCAGAAAGGAAUUAAUUUUUAAAGUUUUCUCCUGUAGUAAAUUAUUAAGGCUUCUAAUAAUCUUUGAUUAGGCAGAGAUAUCUGAAACACUUUAAUCAUUAAUAAUAAAAUCAAAUUAAAAAAAAGGACCUCAAAUAAGAGUCAAAAUGUAGGUAACCAGUGGAAAAUUCUCCUGCUCAAUUUGGUCCAUUUUUCAGAGCUUACUUCCCACCAUUUUGGAUCAAGUUUCUACUUUUUAAAAUAAAUCCUCUUAGUGACAAAAAAAAUUCUGUUGUUUCAUGUGCUUAAUACAAAAAUUCACCUUGUUACUCUUAAAAUUGAGAUUAAUAACAGGUUUGUAUCUACUAACAUAACUUUUGAUACUUAAGUACAAUGUAACCUCUUGCAUCUUCAUAUGCAAGUUUUGUUCAAAACCUGUAGUAGUCUACGUUGGGGAUUUUGAGUUGUUUUAGUGCUCUUCUAUUUAGCUCUUGUCUUCUUGCCCUAUUUCUAAAGGUUGUGUCCCAUAUGAAUAAUAAAUGAAUGAAAAUGUGUGAGCUGACUUAAAUGCUAUUUUGUACUUUGUAUUCUUUAUCUUAACCUCCAUUUAAACUCUGACCAUUGUACAGGAAUAUCUGUCAAUGAUUCCAAAAUUUAAGGGCAAGUUUAUCAUUCUAGAACCUCAUCUAAUGGGGAAUAAGCAUACAGGAUUUCUAUCCAACCCAAUAAAACCAUAACAAUGCUUACUUACUGCAAACUAUGUUUUCAUCUGACUCCACAACAACUAUAAUUUUUAAAAUGUGUUACCUUUUCUAUUAACUGUUAUGAUAACUUGGGACAAAAAGUUGCUUAAAAUGGAAAAAAUAAAAAUUUUAAAAAUAAAAAAAAUAAAAGAUUUAAGAGGUAGCUAAAUUCAGCAAGAGAAAUUCUAGAAGAACUUUGCUCUCUAAUGGAGGGCAAAAAUCUGGUGAGCAAUAGAGUUAUAUGUAAAGACAAAUCAGCUUUUAUCUGUGAGUUCAUAUUUCAUAAAAGGAAAAAAUCAUCCUAAAGGUACAGGGGAAAAAAAAUAAUGUAAAUACCAGAGCUUCAGGGUUGUAUAUGAAAAGGUGCUUGUUUACAAACUACAAGAUUUGAUAGGAUAUUUUAUUAAUAGAUAAAGCUUUCAGUAAAAAAUAUGUUCCAAAUCUUCAAAGUACUGUGAGUAGGUGAAAUAAAAGAAACUUUUCACAGAAGUUGAUAAUGUCUUUCUUCGGCGGCUUAUGGACAAGGUUGUCAAGUAAAUUCCAACAUACUACCCUGCAAAGUGAACUCAAAGCAGAGAAUAAAUGCAAACAUGCGCUCAAGACACACGCUCACAGGAAUACCAGCAUGACUUUGUGGCCUAGAUUUCAAGGGGAAAAAAAUAGACAUUCAUCAGGAUGCUGCUAUGGUCUAAAAAUAGCAGAGGAGUCUCUGAACUAUCCAUGUUCCACCAAUCAGCACAUCUGAGGGAGAACUCCCAUACGCACUGAUGCAUUACCCUUAUCAUUGUAAUUGAUGCCUAACACGUCUCUACCCAUCAAAUGCCAUCCUGAAUGGAAGGGGCAUUAAUCUCCAUGCAAGAUGAUCAUCACUUUGAAACCCUAAGUGAUCUCAAAUUUCCUAACAGCUUAAAUCACAAUACUGCAGGGAAAAAUAAUACAUAGGACUACUGAUUCAUGUCCUGACUGCUGAAGGAUAUAAUCUCACAUACCUGAGCACACUGGUGACUUCUGAUGCUAUUUCCAAGUACCAGAGAGAAGAGAGGAAAGAUCGCUCUGCCCAGAUUUUGAGCCGCCUAGUUCUCCUUUUCCUGGAGUGGAUGAAGGGAUUUGACAUGAUCUGGAGACCCUGAGGGGCAAACACAGGAAGAGAUUUUUUUUUAUUUCCCCUAAAAUUACGUUCUAGAACUUUAGUGUGACUCAUCAGAGCCUUCACAGAGCCUGAAUUUCCUAAUGAAAAGCGUCACGGGAGGUGUUUUUCCUUCUCACAUUAAUGUAAUUCUUUUCACAAUGGGCUUUUCAAAGCAUAAAAGAAUAUAUCAAGACAGCUAUGUCAUGGCAGAGUCUUGACUUGUCUGA